UACGAAGGGUGCAAGCGUUACUCGGAAUUACUGGGCGUAAAGCGUGCGUAGGUGGUUCGUUAAGUCUGAUGUGAAAGCCCUGGGCUCAACCUGGGAAUGGCAUUGGAAACUGGCGACCUAGAGUGCGGUAGAGGGUAGUGGAAUUCCCGGUGUAGCAGUGAAAUGCGUAGAUAUCGGGAGGAACAUCCGUGGCGAAGGCGGCCACCUGGACCAACAUUGACGCUGAGGCACGAAAGCGUGGGGAGCAAACAGG
rnacentral:rRNA from 1 species